rnacentral:rRNA from 1 species
GCAGGUGCGAAAGCAGGUCAUAGUGAUCCGGUGGUUCUGAAUGGAAGGGCCAUCGCUCAACGGAUAAAAGGUACUCCGGGGAUAACAGGCUGAUACCGCCCAAGAGUUCAUAUCGACGGCGGUGUUUGGCACCUCGAUGUCGGCUCAUCACAUCCUGGGGCUGAAGUAGGUCCCAAGGGUAUGGCUGUUCGCCAUUUAAAGUGGUACGCGAGCUGGGUUUAGAACGUCGUGAGACAGUUCGGUCCCUAUCUGCCGUGGGCGCUGGAGAACUGAGGGGGGCUGCUCCUAGUACGAGAGGACCGGAGUGGACGCAUCACUGGUGUUCGGGUUGUCAUGCCAAUGGCACUGCCCGGUAGCUAAAUGCGGAAGAGAUAAGUGCUGAAAGCAUCUAAGCACGAAACUUGCCCCGAGAUGAGUUCUCCCUGACCCUUUAAGGGUCCUGAAGGAACGUUGAAGACGACGACGUUGAUAGGCCGGGUGUGUAAGCGCAGCGAUGCGUUGAGCUAACCGGUACUAAUGAACCGUGAGGCUUAACCUUACAAC